UACAUAGGGUGCAAGCGUUGUCCGGAAUUAUUGGGUGUAAAGGGUGCGUAGACGGGAAAGCAAGUUAGUAGUGAAAUCCCCCGGCUUAACUGGGGAACUGCUACUAAAACUACAUUUCUUGAGUAUCGGAGGGGAAAGUGGAAUUCCUAGUGUAGCGGUGAAAUGCGUAGAUAUUAGGAAGAACACCGGUGGCGAAGGCGACUUUCUGGACGAUAACUGACGUUGAGGCACGAAAGUGUGGGUAGCAAAC
rnacentral:rRNA from 1 species